rnacentral:lncRNA from 1 species
GAGCUUGGUCGGACAUCUGAGCUUGGUCGGGUAUCCUGAAGUUCACAAGCGUCCCAAUAUCAGGAAGAGUGGAAUAAUUAAAGGAGAGCUGCAAAUAAAUCAACAUAAGAAGGGAACGAGAGUUGUGUUUCCAAUCGUCGAGGACCCCUGGCAGCUCUACUGAUAAUACAUCCGAAGAUUUCCGGAAUUCCAACUUCGUGGAAUGAGGGUCCCUUCGAGAGACUCCAACUUGUACGCUCCGGGCCGCUGGACUCGAGCAAUCCGAUAUGACCCUUUCCAGUUCGAGGCGAGCUUCUCCUGCUCGGUAGGCUGAGAAGCUCCAGCUCUCCUGAGGACGAGAUCUCCCACCUUGAAAAGCUUGGCCUUUACCCUGGAGUUGUAGUACUGUGUCGCUUUCUGUUAAUACCUCGCCAUGCGGACUCGGACGACCUCCCUUGUCUCCUCAACGAGGUCCAAGUUGCCCCUGAGCUGAGAGGAGUUGGAGGCUGCGUUGUAGUGCUCUACUCUUGGUGAGGGGAGUCCGACUUUUAGGGGGAUGACAGCUUUCGUUCCGUACGCUAGGUUGAAGGGGGUAUCGCCAGUGGAAAGUCGAAAUGUAGUCCUGUAAGCCCAGAGAACAUUGUAGAGGUCUUCGACCCAUUGCCCUUUGGAUCGGUCGAGCCUAACCUUGAGCCCCUAAAGGAUGGUGCAGUUUGUCACCUCGGUUUCUCUAUUCGCCUGUGGAUGGACGACCGAAGUGUCAGAUAUAAGGAUGCGGGGGGAGUCCAAAUCUGCAGAUUAUUGACUUCCAGACAAAGUCCCGCAUCUUCAGCUCGAAGAUCUGGACCACUGGUUCGAUUUCGACCCAUUUGGUAAAGUAGUCGAUGGAGACAACUAGAAAUUUUCUCUUUCCGGUGGCCAGAAAAAAUGAUCCCAGGAUGUCAAUCCCCCAUUGGGCGAAUGGCCAAGGGGCACUUAUCGAGGUCAGCGGGGCCGAGGGCCGGCGCUGAAUGUUG